AGACGAGCCGCAAACAUGCGGUUCCUUUGCACUACGCGGAGCGCGUUGCCCUGACGAUUUAUAGGCCCCUCCCGCCACCUGGCGGGGAAACCUGCAGCACAGCUCUGCGGGAGAUGGCCGCCGCCCUCGUCACGCGUGCAAGGUAAAUUAGCUUCAAGUUCUGCAACCUCUUUAACAAGCAACUUGUCUCUCACAGAAACCCUCCGAGUGGAGUCGGACGCGGUGGCUGGCGUCCGGGACCCUUCGAGCCCGUCAUCGCGCUUCGCUUGCUUGCUGGCGUUGGCGCCACUGCCGCCUUUACCCUGGGCGCCGGAGACGGGCGAGGCGCCGCGCCGACGCCGGCCGGCCAUUCGCGGCCCCUCUCAGCCAGCUCACCUCGCGGCCAGCGGGUGAAAGAAGAAAGUGCAGCGGAAAUGAGAGAAUACUUUGAGUCAGAUGAAAAUGAAAACACAAUGUGCCAGAAUUUAUGGAUGCAGAGCUCAGGGGAAAAUUUAUAGUUGUGAACGGCUACAUUUAAAAAAGAAAAAAAGAUCUCAAACAAUAACAUAACAUAGACCUUGAGGAAAUAGAAAAAGAAGAGCAAACUCAACCCAAAGCUAGAAAAGAAUAAAGAAGAAAAUAAGAAAGGUUAGCGUGGAGAUAAAUAGAAGAGAGGAACAGCAAUAGAGAAAAUCAACAAAAGCAAUAGUUUCAGCUAACUGUAACCCCAGAUGAGGGUUACUACCAGGGUGGAAAAUUUCCGUUUGAAACUGAAGUUCCCGAUGCAUACAACAUGGCGCCUCCCAACGUGAAAUGCUGAGCGGGUUUGGCGCCGGCAUCAGAGACAGGGAUUGAAAACUUCGUCCCGAAGUCCACUCUGUGUUUCUCCUCCGCAGUCAUGACUCACCAAACAAUCUGCAGUUUCCACUACCUGGAGGACUCAAUUCAUUCUGAGAAUCAUUUCUCUUUGAAACCGCUCCUGAAGAGCCCAAGCUAGAUGGCGUGCUCCCAACACCUGCUAUCACCGCGUUUGGCUGCCUGGCUCGUGAUUCUUCGCAUUGCCCUGCUAGGGCUAGCCGCCCCCCGAGCCCGGCACGACGCCAGUUACUGAGCAGGCGCUGAAUUAAACAUCUGACGAGUGAC